UACAUGGGGUGCAAACGUUGCUCGGAAUUAUUGGGCGUAAAGCGCACGUAGGCGGUUUGUUAAGUCGGAUGUGAAAUCCCUCGGCUCAACUGAGGAAGUGCAUCCGAAACUGGCAGGCUUGAGUACUAAAGAGGGUCGUGGAAUUCCCGGUGUAGAGGUGAAAUUCGUAGAUAUUCGGAAGAACACCAGUGGCGAAGGCGACUCACUGGCCCAUUACUGACGCUGAGGCGCGAAAGCGUGGGGAGCAAACAGG
rnacentral:rRNA from 1 species